GCCGCCUGUCACUCUGCUGUGCGCUCCACUGAGCGCGCCUCGGGACACACCCACGGGCGUUCCUCUCCUGCAGCAGCCGCGCCUCUGCGGCUGCACUCACUCUACUAUCAACACACCUGGCGCUGAUGAGAUCCCUGCCUUCAUAAGCCAGCGCAUGCUGCGUUCCAGUGCCAGAACGUAGCUACUUGUACCAGUACAGUUAUCGAUGAACAGCUGUCCAUUGCAGUAGACUGAGAUCCUUCUUUUGCAACUGACACACCCGCCCUGACCCGCCGGUUGAUCCACCACGGACCGCUCGGGGAUGGCAUGUCGAACACGAAUGACCCGGCCUGGUUUCACCUCCACAAACUCGUAACCGUCGGCAGGUUCGGAGGACUCUGCAGGAACCACGACGUUGGUUGACUUUGAGAAUGCUGCUGCUCGAGUACAUCUCUGACAUGUUGGAACCAUACGAACCAUCUCGGCCCCUGAGAACCUCAGGGAGUGGUCUCCUGCUGGUGCCCAGAGUCAGGAUCAAACAUGGUGAGGCUGUGUUUCAGUUUUAUGCUCCUAAAAUCUGGACUAGUCUUCCAGAAGAUGUGAGCAAGGCUUCAAAGUUAUCAAUGUUCAAAUCCAGGCUGAAAACAUUUGUAUCUAAUUGUGCAUAUGACAAUGGUAAAUGGUAUACUGUACUGUAUAGAGCUUUUCUACCUUCAAGGUACUCAAAGCGCUUUGAAACUACUUCCACAUUCACCCAUCCACACACUGAUCAACCAACCGAUCCACGCCGUCCCCCAACAACUGAAUGUAUUUUUAUAAUGACUAUAUUUUAUGAUUUUAAUUUGAAUUAUUAUGAUCAUUUCAUUUUUAUUUUGCCUUGUAAUUUUCUGUAAAACACUUUCAAUUGCCUUGUGUAC